AUUGAACGCUAGCGGCGUGCCUAACACAUGCAAGUAGAACGCAGUUUCGAACGGGUGAGUAUCGCGUAGGUAAAUGCCUCAUAGCGGGGGAUAACUAUCUGAAACGAUAGCUUAUAACGCAUUCUGUGAGAUGGACCUGCGUUGGAUUUGCUAGUUGGUGAGGUAAAGGCGCACCAAGGCGCAGAUACAUUGCCGACCUGGGAGGGUGGUCGGCCACACUGGGACUGAGACACGGGCCAAACUCCUACGGGAGGCAGCAAUAGGGGAUCUUCGGCAAUGGACGGAAAUCUGACCGAGCAACGCCGCGUGGGUGAAGAAGGUUUUCGGGUCGUAAAACUCUGUUGAUAGAGAAGCGGUAACUGACCAGAAAGGAACGGCUAACUACGUGCCAGCAGCCGCGGUAAUAC
rnacentral:rRNA from 1 species